ensembl:lncRNA
AUUUCGGUUCUGCUCCUAAACCAGGUGCACUGGAUGCUGCUGCUGUACGCAUACAGCAAUUGGAAGAAACAGUCAAGGAGCUGAUGAGAGCUGUCACAGCUGAAAGUGGUUCAAGUGCCUUUUCACAGAUUUUGUGUCUCAGACAAGGACAUCCUUUUUUACACCAGAUUCACAUCCAGAGAUGUUUUUUGUGAAUUCUGGGAGGUUAUUUAACCAUCUGCCUCCAUGUUGGUUUAUUGGUUGAAAGCACAGAAAAAGAAACAAACAUUUGAACCCAUUUCUCCCAGUCCAACGUGUAGACUGCAACUGGUUGAGUUUUUUCUCUUUUGCUGCCGGGUUGCUGCAGGCCUGCAAGAGAAGGUGCUGGCUGUCAUGUUUCAGAGCUGACUGAACGAAGUGGACUGCUGGAUUUACUGGAGCCAGGAGAUGGCUGCAUGGCAGACAAGGGUUUCACCAUCGAAAUGCCACUAGCUGAUCGUGGGGCAACGCUGAUUAUGCCACUCUCAAGAUGACAGUUCACCGAAGAAGAUGCUCUGAAAACACAAGCAAUCGCCCGACUUCGAAUCCUCGUAGAAAGAGCAAUAGGCAGAGUCAAGGAAUACCGCAUCUGGGAACGCACUGUCCUUUCACCUUGUCUGCGACAGUCAACCAGCUGUGGACCGUCUGCUGUGUGAUGACCAACUUCCAGGGACCACUUGAUUUAAAAGGCUACAUCCCUGUUGAAGAGUGUUUCUACUCAAACAUGUACCUAUAAAUAUUAAAUAUAAUAUAUAAAUAUUAAACGAGAGGCACUGAACAUU